rnacentral:rRNA from 1 species
UGGGGAAUAUUGGACAAUGGGCGCAAGCCUGAUCCAGCCAUGCCGCGUGAGUGAUGAAGGUCCUAGGGUUGUAAUGCUCUUUCACCGGUGAAGAUAAUGACGGUAACCGGAGAAGAAGCUCCGGCUAACUUCGUGCCAGCAGCCGCGGUAAUACGAAGGGGCCUUGCGUUGUUCGGAUCUACUGGGCGUAAAGCGCACGUAGGUGGACUUUUAAGUCAGGGGUGAAAUCCCUGGGCUCAACCCCGGGACUGCCUUUGAUACUGGGAGUCUUGAGUAUGGUUGAGGUGAGUGGAAUUCCGGGUGUAGAGGUGAAAUUCGUAGAUAUUCGGAGGAACACCAGUGGAGAAGGCGGCUCACUGGACCAUUACUAACGCAGAGGUGCGAAGGCGUGGGGAGCAAACAGG